UCCUUAUUGUCUCUUGUCUUAAACCUUUACCCCUGGUCAUGGUCUUCCCCAACAGGGAACAUCUUCCUCCAUCCAGACUGGUCUACCUGUUGGAAUUGUCUAUGUUUCCAUGAGAACCAUUGUCAUUCUUCUAAACUCCACGAGCCAAAUUAACUCAAAUUCUCUUUGUAAUUUUCACCGUCCCAGGAAGAAGUCAGAACAAGGAGGUUAGGAAAUGUGACUUUUCAUGGAGGGUUUUUUCAAACUGCUGGAGGUACUCUGUGGGUCGAGCAGCAUCUAUGGAGGGAAAGCAAUGAUCAGCGUUUCGUAUCGUGACCCUGCAUUGACUUAAAUCAUCAUUUUUCAAAUACAAAUAAAUUAUUUGUUUACAACUUAUUUCCACAGAUACAGAGGAAGGUAUUCACUAUGGAUCCAUCUCCUUCCAGCCUAAAGCAACUGGUGGCAACAGCGAUAAUACACUGUCCUCCAAUCAAGCAUCAGGCACUAACCUUGUUUCUUCAAAGGAAGAUGAGUCUGUCAUCUAUGCUGAAACAGCAAAAAAAUAAACAUGAAGAGAGUGGAAAGUAAAGGCUUGGACUUUGACAAGUGCAACGUUGCCAU